rnacentral:rRNA from 1 species
UACGUAGGGGGCUAGCGUUGCUCGGAAUCACUGGGCGUAAAGGGUGCGUAGGCGGGGCUUUAAGUCAGGGGUGAAAUCCUGGAGCUCAACUCCAGAACUGCCUUUGAUACUGAGGAUCUUGAGUUCGGGAGAGGUGAGUGGAACUGCGAGUGUAGAGGUGAAAUUCGUAGAUAUUCGCAAGAACACCAGUGGCGAAGGCGGCUCACUGGCCCGAUACUGACGCUGAGGCACGAAAGCGUGGGGAGCAAACAGG